rnacentral:rRNA from 1 species
AACCUAACGUUGAGAUAAGGUGCCCAAAUUCACGCUCAUGAGACACCAUAAAAGGUGUUGGUUAGUUUAAACAGCCGGACUGUGGCCAUGGAAGUCGGCAGCAGCUAAGGAGUGUGUAACAACUCACCAGCCGAAUUAACCAGCCCUGAAAAUUGAUGGCGCUAAGCGUGAUACCGAUACUCAACCAUUAAGGCAAAUAGAAGCUUUAAUGAGUAAGAGGGCGUGAAUACUGUGCAGAAGGCUUGGAUGUGAAUCUGGCUGGAACAGUAUUUAGUGCAGAUCUUGGUGGUAGUAGCAAAUAUUCAAAUGAGAACUUUGAAGACCGAAGUGGAGAAGGGUUCCAUGAGAACAGCAUUUGUUCAUGGGUUACUCGAUCCUAAGACAUAGGGAAAUUCCUUGUAAUACAUGCGAUCUUACGACCGCAUUGUCAAAAGGGAAUGAGGUUGAUAUUCCUCAAGCUGGAUGUGGUGGCAACGUGGCAACACAAACAAGCUCGGAAACACCGGC